rnacentral:rRNA from 1 species
GAUGAACGCUGGCGGCGUGCCUAAUACAUGCAAGUCGAGCGGACGGACGAUAAUCUUGCUGCUCUGAUGUUAGCGGCGGACGGGUGAGUAACACGUGUAUAACCUACCUAUAAUACUGGUAUAACUUCGGGACACCGGAUCUAAUACGGUAGAAUAUUUUGAACCGCAUGGUUCAAAAGUAAAAUACGGUCUUGCUGUCACUUAUAGAUGGAUCCGCGCUUCAUUAGGUAGUUGGUAAGUUAAAGGGUUACCAAGGGAACGAUGCAUGGACGACCUGAGAGGGUGAUCGGCCACCCUGGAAGUGAGCCACGGUCAAGACUCCUACGGGAGGCCGCAGUAGGGAAUCUUACGCAAUGGGCGAAAGCCUGACGGAGCAACGCCGCGUGAGUGAUGAAGGUCUUCGGAUCGUAAAACUCUGUUAUUAGGGAAGAACAUAUGUGUAAGUAACUGUGCACAUAUUGACGGUACCUAAUCAGAAAGCAACGGCUAACUACGUG